rnacentral:rRNA from 1 species
UACGUAGGGGGCAAGCGUUGUCCGGAUUUAUUGGGCGUAAAGAGCGUGUAGGCGGUCAGGUAGGUCCGUUGUGAAAACUCGAGGCUCAACCUCGAGACGCCGAUGGAAACCAUCUGACUAGAGUCCGGAAGAGGAGAGUGGAAUUCCCGGUGUAGCGGUGAAAUGCGCAGAUAUCGGGAAGAACACCCGUGGCGAAGGCGGCGUCUCUGGGACGGUGAC